rnacentral:rRNA from 1 species
UACGAAGGGGGGCUAGCGUUGCUCGGAAUUACGUGGGCGUAAAGGGCGCGUAGGCGGAUAGUUUAGUCAGAGGUAAAAGCCCAGGGCUCGAACCUUGAACUGCCUUUGAUACUGGCUAUCUUGAGUACGGGAGAGGUGUGUGGAACUCCGAGUGUAGAGGUGAAAAUUCGUAGAUAUUCGGAAGAACACCAGUGGCGAAGGCGAACACACUGGCCCGUUACUGACGCUGAG